rnacentral:lncRNA from 1 species
GAGGUUUUCAAUUCCAAGUUUUGCAUUAAUUUGUUAGAACCAAUUUCAAUGGCCAUUGAAAGGUGAGUUUAUCACCUGGAAUGACUUUGAGUUGCCAAUAUUUGGUAAGCUUUUGGCUUUAGACCAUUAGUUAUCUCUUACGAGCUAUUCAAAGGAAGUCUAAGGUGAAUAACCAUUGAUGAAAUUCACUACCAUCUAUUUUGCCAUUUUAAAGGAUUAAAACUUGAUUUGCUAAAUCCAUACCGGUU